rnacentral:lncRNA from 1 species
AUAAAUCAAGUUCUCUAGAAGUCUUUUCCAAAUAUAGGAAUACGUAAAGUAUUACUAUAUAUAUUUUUCUACUAUAUAGAAAUGGAAGUUGGGGUAGGACGAACACUGCUAUAUGUCAUUGGGAGUUGGGGUAGGACGAACAUAUAUGUCAUUGUACUAAAUUCAAUGUGAAUAGUACCAUGUGCUUGGUCCAUUUCAUUAAAUGAAUACAUGGUUAUUUGUCUAUUAUACCCUUGACCAAUAGCAUUAAUUACUUUUAUAUUUAGGGUAAAAUUGGUAAUUGAGUUUCUUUAUCCUAUUUAUCAUUGAACACGUGUAUUCCACUUUUCAGUGCCUAUUUUUCUAUUGCGACACUCCAAUAGUACAAUCAAGAAACCCCUACUAUGAUCACUGAUCAUCGCUAUUUGUGAGACCUUGAAUUCGUUUUCUUACACACUUUUCAAUUUGGUUCCAAGUUUUCAUUUCUCUGUUUCUCAAUUUGUGUGAGUUUUUUACUUUUUUUUUCUUUUCUUAAUCACCCCUACUUCUUCCAUGCCUCACUUCUUAGUUUUUAUUUGAAUUGCUCCAUAGUGAUUACUGUUUGUAUAUGGCCUCUACUGAAUCUAUGGUUUCUGGUAAGAAUUAUUACAUUUUCAUUUCUUUUCUUUGUCUGUUGCUAGAUUUUAGAAAUUUCAGGAGUCUCUAUUUUGAGCCCUAAAUUCCUCCUUAAAUGUUAAUGAAAAUAUGUGCAAUUUGGGUCCUUUCGGCGGGGGGAGGGGGGGGAGGGGUGGAGGGCAUUCGAUUGAAAAGAGACUUGUGCGAUUUGUUAGUUUGGGAACAAGGUAUGGGUGUACUUUAUUUCUGAUAGGUUUAGUGUUUCUCGAUUCUUUCUUUGAUUUUUGCAUUUGUUUCUUGGUAAUGAGAAUUUGAUGGAUAUUUGUUACUUUUUCUAUUCUCUUGGAUAGGCUCUUGCUGGAUUUUAUACAUGCAUGCCACUAUUAUUUCUAUUUCCACAUGUAUGUUUGGAAAUAGAUAUGUAGGUGCAUGCUUGAGAUACAUAAUUGUUUCUAAUUUUAGUUGAGAAAGAUGGUACUUUGAACUGGAGCCCAAGUUCCGUUCUUGGAGCAGUGUUAUUGGACUUUACCAUUUGGUCUCUUGGCAUGAUUAUUCUUCUUCUAUAUUUUUUAUGUAGUACUUGUGCUCAUUGCAGUUCUCCAUUUAGCAAGAUUGAAGCGAAAUACUUUCGGAGUGUUUUAGAGAAAAUAUUGAAGAAAAGCAGUUCCGCAACCAGGAUUGUUUUUAUUUCCUAUCGAUUUGUUUUUUUCAGGAUCAUUGCAUCGAUAUUUUUGUUUACCUUUUUCGUGGAUUUUACUCUUCCUCUUCCAGUAAGGUUAUCCAUCUGUUGUAUACCUGUUUACCCGAAAAAUAGAUAGAGUUGAAUUUGUACGUAGUUCUAAGGUUAUGUGGUAUAACUUGACACAAAUCGUAAAGAGUAAGUAGAAAUAUCGAAUAUUGACUAUAAGAAAAGAUACAAACCCAGUUGAAAGGAACAUGAUUUGUGAACAAGCAAAAUGGAAUUAUGUGUGAAGCUAAAAAGGAUAAUCUCCCAAUAUGAUUAUGUAUCAAUAGUAUUCGAGUUACAGUGUAUUGAUAAUGUGAUCCCCUUACAGAAAUAAUAGUCAUCCCUCUUAUAGUGGAGGGAUCCUACUUUAGAUAUCAUAAAAAAUACAUAGUGGGAAACCCAUGAUAAAUCAGCUUUUCCCUAAUUUCCGCCGAGAUUCUCUCUCUUAGUGCGGCUUUAACGGCUCUUGUCUCUUGGCUCGAUCUUGAUUGGACUCGGUAUUGGUCGGUUUCCAGGUUUAGAGCUCGAUGCGGGUUUGAGCUCGAUGCCGACUCGGGGCCCAGCAUUGAUUCGGGCUCGGUGUCGGUUGGUCUCUGGCUCUGAAGCUUGAUACCAUCGCUUCUCAUCAUAGCUCGAUUUGGACUCGAGCUCGAUAAUGAUGUCGAACUCGGUAUUUAAUCUGACCCCGAAACUCGAAGCUCGUUCGUGCCUUCUUCAAAUCUCACCUCGAUAUUAUGAAGACGCUCUUCGAUCCGUCUUCACCGAUCGUACGAAGGUCGAAACGGUUUUGACCGUAUACAAUACCUUUUAAGUUUAAAAGAUUGAGCUUUCAGGUUGCUUACAUAUCCCAUGCAUGACAACUAAUUUGUAUAGAGGAUUCAUGACAAUCAUGGAUUAGCAGGUGCUUCAAUAUGUUUAUGGAAUUCUAUUACACUGCCAAAACGUAAGCAAAUGUUUCUGAACUCUCAAAAUUAAUUUAGAAAAUAGUUCUUUUGAAAGAAAAUGGAAGAUGUUUCCUUUAGUACUUUUUUUGUUUUGUUCUUUUAACACAAAACAUGCUGUAAACAGAAAUUAUCUUUUUCCUUAUCGCAACAAUGAUAUUUCCUUGGUAGAGACCAUUCUCAUGGCAAUGCAGCAUGUAUCAACUGGAACUCAUUUCUCAAUCCAUAGCCAGUAGAAAUAGUCAAAGGAGUGUGAAAAUGGUAAUUCAAGCGCUCAUCUAAGGUAUUGAUACUUCUUUUAAAAGAAAAUCUAUAUAUUAAGCUCAUAAUAUAUUGGAGUAUAAUUUUUCUUGGGGUAGCUUAUAGCCUAUUGUUCACUUUUAAGACUUUCCUUCAAGACCUCUAACUUUAGACUGUGAACAUUGUCAAAUCUUAGCCUUCUUGGGUUCAAAUUUUCGAGCUAAUGUAAUUUUUUAAGUAUAUAUGCUAACACAAUUUAAGUUUUAUUUCCGUCCUUUUUGAUAUACACUGAAGUAGUUAUGUCUAUAUAUAUCUUGAGACCGAAUACAAAAGACACUAAGAAAUUUUUGAGACAUUGCAAAACAGAAUGACUUAAUCGUUCAAUGGCUUGACUAUAUCCUUUCGUAGAGUGGAAAAGGUGAAUUUACUCGUUUUCAUCAAAUGAAUUGUUCCUAAGGCAAAACCAAGUGAAGUUACUUUCAAUAUGAUGUUUGAAAACAUUGAUGAGAAGUAUAUUUUUUGGCAUUUGAAUGUGUUUGUCAGUUGCCUUUUUUUACUUCAUAUUUGUUAUGAUCUUGCUGAUGUGCUCAAAUAUUCCAUCCAUUAUUUUUUUUAUUAUUUAUUCUAUUGGAUUAGCUUAAGAGAUAAGUUUAAUUUUAUGAUACUUCCAGUUUUUUUUGCUUGAAAAUGUGACGUUAUCUUCUUUGAGAAAUUACUUUCACAUCACAAUAGUGAGCUGUGAGCAGUAUCCCUUUAUUGGGAUGGAGAAGGGAAAAGGUCAGUGCAAUACCCUGCUUCCUAUUGAGGCUUUGACUGCACAAUUACUCUGUAGUGGAAAGGAGGCAAAUAUUAUUCAAACUUAAACCUUUGUAGUGGAAGGAAAAUAGUAACUCUGUACAACUGCUGCUCUGGAUAGUUUAUCCCUUUGUAUGAGUGAUGAACUAAAAACAUUCUGUUAUCUUUCAACUUUACACUUUUUUGUAUAUAAACUAUCAUGGCAAUGUAGCUAUAUCUUUUUUUAAUUGAAUGUAGCUAUGCUAAUAAGUGAACUAUUAAACUUGUUGGAGUAACUUGGACCAAUUAUAUAGUAUUAGUUUUCGAUUCAAUGUGUUGAACUAUUUUAGUGUUGGGCCCGUGCUCUGCACGGACAUAUUCUUGCUAGUUAUUUUUAUAUUUUAGAAGUGGCAGUUGGGUGGGACGAACACUGCUACGGUUGAUGGUACAAAAAGCAGUGGAAGUUAUAUUUUCUUGAUAUAGUGGAUACUUUAGGAAUAAAUUAGUAAUUUACCCUUAGUUUAAUGCGUGUACCGAUUUCGUGUAAGCACGUGUUGCCCUUUUAAUUCUCUUCCUUUUGUUCACCAUCUAAUCCCCACUUUCUUCUCAUUCUACUGGAGUACUUUUCCCUUCCCUUCUUUCUGUCACUUACCAUAUCUUCUCUGUUACUAAACUUUCUUCGCAAUUGCUGCAUUCAUUUUGCUCUGCGCUUGUGAAUCUCACCUCUGUGAAAAAAAAGCUCGGUAAUCUCUCUUCGCUGUCUGCAUCUUUUCAAAGUUUCUCCGUUUGGAUCUAUUUCGGUUAUGUUUCUCAAUUUUGGUGAGUUUUCUCCACUUUUUUUUCCCUUAAAUUUGCCCAACUCUUUGUGAUGGAACUUUAGUGGCAUCUCUGAUUUGCACAUUCAUGUUUGAAAAUAGAUACCUAGGUGCACGAUUUUGGAUAUUUGAUAAAUGAAAAUCUAUUAUUUUUUGGGUAAUCAAAUUUAAUUAGUUCUUUUCCUCUUCGUAUGAAAGUUGCAACAGAUUGUAUAUUGAAAGGGAUAUUAGUUCUUUUUCUUUGUUGAUCGGCAAGUGAUGUUCAUUUAACUGAGUGUCCGAAUCUGGUUGUGAGAGUGAAGUUUUGAGUUUGAUAGUUCAUUUUGAAUAAAAGUAUGCCUUAUCUCAUGUGCUUUUCUUAAAUUUUUCCUUUCGUACUUAAACAUAUGGUCUUGGAAAGUAAAUUCUUCUCUUUUGGCUUUUCUAUUUUCUUGCUUGCGAGUUACUUGGGUAAUAUGAUACUUCAUUUUAACGGCUAUCAAUAGUAUAUCAUUUUGCACAGUACUGAUACAUAAGGUGUCUGAUGAUAUGCUUGAAACAACUGAGUAUUUUUUGUGACUCUUUACUCCUUUUACAGGUCCUACAGCAUACUCACUUCGCAUCUGGAAUCCAGAAGGUACAUUAUUAACUUCUAAUGGACAAUAUAGGUGUGCGUCGACAUUUAUUAUUGAAGUAAUCUACUCCCUAAGUCCCGAUUUAUGUGACACUUUUUGCUUUUCGAGAUUCAAACUUUUAAAUUUUGACCGUAUAUUUGGACAUAGAAUCUUUAAAUUUUUUGAAAUAAAAUUUACAUAUUUGGAAACUAUAUAAAAAGUACUAUAAGUCACAAUAAUAAAUAAUUUAAAAUAUUUAAAAGGCAUAUGACAAAAUUGCGGUCAAAGAAUAAUUCGUUUGACUCUCGAAAUCCAAAUGCCUUUGCAUAAAUUGGGACGGAGGGAGUAUUUGAUUGCAUGUGUAUUUCUAUUGCACUAUUGUUACUAUUUUGUCAGACUUUUCGUUUAACAAGAAAAAUUAUAUAGUAUAUAAAUUAUAGCUUUUCAAAAUUAUACCAAGUAAUAGAUAUCGAUUUAACCAAAUUAUAGAGUGCUCAGAACAAAAAUGACCAGAAUCCUAGAAACUGCAAACUGAAAAGUGAUGUUCAAUCAGUUUAUGCCUUUAGCAUUUGACAUAAUAUCUUUCUCUCUAUUGUCCUGUGUAUUCUCUCCAUUGAAAUUGGAGAGCGUUGCGCCUUUACAAAUGGAGACUGCUCAUCAGUCCAAGAUGAUCUUUUAUUUCUGUUGCAUUCCCGUCCUCUCUUCACCUUCCUCUUGCAUUUGCUCUCUUCACCCCUUCUGGCGUUGAUUUUUUGGUUCUUUUAGUUGAUUCUCCGUGCUUCGCCAUUACAGUUAUUUAUGUCAAACUUUCAGGAAGGUCAUGUUGUGCGCUAGAAAUAUCUUUGCGAGUAUUGUGAGACUUGCAACUUAUCAAGUCCUUGGAAGCAUACGUGAAAGGCAAUACGGCAAGUGCUAGCUACUUCUUAGCUGGUGCCAAAAAUUGCCACUGAAAAAGUUUGAUAGGAUGACCAAGAGGAAGCUCCAAAAAAGAAACCACAGACAAUUCAUGAUCCUUUGUUCACUGAUUGUAACAAAAUCAAGAUUAAAAAGAGGAAGAGGAAAUAGGAGUGUCAACAAAAGGUGAGGAGCAUAAAUAUACUCUUCUAUUGAACUGCAUAGUCUUUGAAAUAAUCUAGGAUGAACAUUCCUGAAACAAUUAUGGUACUUGUAUUAUAUAGGGCAUGCAAAUAAUUUUGUUAUUGUGUUACCAUUCCUAUUGAGGCUUCUCGCUCAUUAUCUUUUGGACAUGUUAGUAUAGCUUUCAAAUGGUUGUUGUGACUUAAUGAUGAUUUUGUCUAUAAAUGAUAAAAUGGUUCUAUUUUCAUAGGCUAAUAACCCAUAAUCUUAUGAACUUGCUAUUCACAAAAGUGGUAAUCACAUAGGAUUUCUCUAGCUUUGAAUCUUCUUUAAAGGUUUCAUAUAUUUGUGCAUGCACAUGAUGACAGAUCAUUGAUGGUGCUGACUGUAUACUGAGCCCAAGUUCAUUGGUAACUUGUGGUCUCAUUAAAUAAACUUCUCAUUGCUCAAAAUGGAUUAUCCAUCUUACUGCUUUCCUGUUGUGUUACAGUUGCUAAAAAGAACAUGAAUGAAAGACUUUGGUAGAGUUCUUCACAAUAAGAAAUUUAAUUUAUGAGAUGUAACUAAGGGGAAGUUUAUAAGUUUUUUUAUGAGGAGCAUCAGUUUCACUUCACUAACAUUGUUAGCCAAUUUAUUUGUGUAAGUUAACAGCUGUGUACAGGGAUGCAAUCAGGGAACUAAUGGUGUAGUCCUUGGAGUAACAAGCAUGUCCAAAUUAUGUCGCCUUUCUUGGUGGACGCAGUAUCAGUCCUUCCUGUCUACUUUCAUUUGACAUGACACCUCAUAUGAUCGUGUAGUCUUUUAGAUGAUCUGUGUGUAUUAUUCAUAGAGGGUGCCUUUUAUUUUUUAUCUCGAAACUGACAGAAACUGCCAUAGUUCAUUUACUUCCUUUUGUGUUAGGUUGUUUUGUCAUUACUCAACCAUAUAUAUAUGUAUUUUUUUGAUCAGUAAUCAUGUUGACUUAUUUGAAUUUAUGAAUGAUACAAUUCUAAGAUUUUUUACACUGGCAUAUGUUUAUUGAUCAUGUUUCCAUCCUUUGUGCUCUAACAGUUAGUAAGAGUUACGGUGAGGGACUUAAAAGUUCAUUUCUCUUAUGUGCCUUAAACCCAUGAUGCAUGUUUUCAUCCACCAAGGCUUUUUUAUCUUUGACCUAAUCUUUCCUCGUGUAAUGACUUAUGUUUUGCACUGUGGCAGAGCAUUGAGCAAUUCUUCAUGACUGUGGAGAGAGAAGAUUAGUGACACAUCUUGUGAAUUGUAUGAUGCAUUCGCAUCUUCUUGGGUGUUUUUUCUGUAGAACAUGGUCUUGGCCUACUUAUCUCAGAGAGAGAAAGUUGUCGUUCACCAAUUCAUGACCACAUUCCUUUCAAACUUAAGCAUUUUGAUUAUUUUAUCAGUGUAUAUACUUAUUGACACUUCUGAGCUAUCAACUACGGAUUUUGUUCUUGUGUAAAUUAUAUUCUUCUGUGUUUGAACCAAUGUAGUACUAUUUUACAGAACGAUUGUUGUUAUACCUAGAGUUGAUAAACUAAUUUAAAUAUUUGGUGGUAGAUUGGAUAUAUUGAAAACUAACUUCCCAUUUAACCUUUUU